UGAUUUAGGCGUGAUUUAUGGCUGGUUUUAUGUUGGUUGUGUUUGUCUUAGCCUAAGGAACCUAGAUAUACAAGAAAAUCCAAAUUUGGGGUUCAUUUGAUAGAAGGUCAAACUUUGGUCAACUCUUGAAUAUUCAUCUUGUUCUUCAAUCUUCAUCAUACCUUGUUUGAGAAGAAUAUUCAAAGGUGUUGUUUGAUCCAAAAGAGGGAAGAAAGAGGGAGAAAAAGUUGUUUGUCCAAAAGCAUAUUCAAAGAAUAUUCUAUUCUUCCAAAAGGAGGAGGGGACAAGGGAACAAACAAAGUACAAGUGCAAUUAUUAGGGGGGGACCAUUUCAUUUCAUUUUUCAUUUGACACUUGAAAGAACCCUAAAUUGCCUCAUUCCAUCCCUAAAUCCGAAAUUAGCAUUCCCAAAGGGUAAUGUUUGGCAAAAAUUAAGUUUUGGAAAAAUUUGAAAAUUUCAAAAAGUGACAACCAACCAUGAAGUGCCACAUCAUCAUUUGUGCUCAACCAAAAUUCGACUCUAAACUUAGAUUUCUUAGUUUCUAAUUUUUUAUUCUAGUUUCUUUAAGCUAAUUAUAUCACUAAUUAACAAACUAGUAAGUACCUACUAGGUUGGUAAUUAGAUUAGAGUUCGUUUAUUUCGCAUCUUCGAUUUUUGUGUGCUUUUCUCGUUUUUAAAUUCAUAGUAUUUUGUUGGUUCAAGUGCGUGCAUCACUUAUUUGAGUUGUAACAAUCAAAGAUCAAUUCCGAACCAAAGCUUCUCACCUCUCAAGUAACUUGCCAAGUAUUGCCGAUUCUCCAACACUGGUGAAACCAAGUGUGAGGUGAGGUUGAGUGUGAGUGAAGUGAGGCUUUUGAACUAACUCAUUUGUUCGUUUUGUAGGUUGUUUUGUUUGCUGUUUUUUGCACUUUUUAGGUACAUUUUCCAUGGAAUUUGGGGGUACUACUUCCCAAUCUUUGGGAAAUGAUGCUAUUGGAGCCUUGAUGACUCAAAUUGAGGCCUUGGGACGAGACAUGAAGAGUAACCAUAAUGCCUUGGCUAGAAAAAUAGAAGAUAGUCAUGAUGCCUUAUGGAAUGAUAUGGAUGCUAUGAAGGGUCACAUAAUUAGAAUAAAAGCGGGGGGUAGAUAGACUAUGUCCACCAAACCCUUCACAAGUCCAAAGAUCCUAUACUUCACAAAAUCCAAUGCCUCCUCUCCACAAGUUAGAAUUCAAAGAGAAUGAGGCCAACCCUCAAGAUGGAGAGAAACUUGAGGGUGAGAUACAAAAGGAGUAUGAAAAAAAGAGGGAAAAGGAAAAGGAAGUCGUGGGUAGUGAUGUUAGGAUGGAAGAAAAAUGCUUGAUUGUGGAUCUUGUCCACAAAGAAUCCUUAUUACUCACUAACCCAAAUACUAUCAUUUUGCCUAGUAUUUUACCUUCUCAUGUGCAGGUUCAAGACCCUAGAUAUCCCAAGGAGAAGCCCAAGGAAGUUCCCUUCAAGCCCUUGUCCGAAAGACCCUAGCGGUACGCUUUAGGAGUUCAUCAUCCCCACUUAGAAGUGGGAGGUGGUGAAUAUGGACUUUGUCAUAGGGUUGUCCUGUACGCAGUGUCAUCAUGAUUCUAUUUGGGUCAUUGUGGAUUGAAUGGCCAAGUCAGCUUAUUUUUUGCCAGUUUAUACUUCUUAUUCAGUUAAAGACUAUACUAGACUCUAUCUCAAGGAGUUAGUAAAGUUGCAUGGAGUUCGACUAUCAUUCAGAUAGAGGUACUCAGUUUACCUCUCAUUCUUGGAAGGCUUUUAUAAGGGUCUAGGUACCCAAGUUCAUCUCAGUAUGACUUUUUAUCCCCAGAAAGAUGGUCAGGCAAAAAUAAGUAUUCAGACCUUAGAUAAUAUAUUGAGAGCUUGUGUUAUUAAUUUCAAUAGUAGUUGGGAUGAUCAUUACCUUUGAUCGAAUUACCUACAACAAUAGCUAUCACUCUAGUAUUUGGAUGGCUCUCUUUGAGUCUUUCUAUGGUAGGAGGUGUAGAUCUCCUAUUAGUUGAUUUGAAGUAGGUAAGGCUUCAUUGAUAGGACCAGAUUUAGUAUAUGAGGUGAUGGAAAAGGUUCAAUUAAUUCGAGAAAGGUUGAAGACAGCAUAAAGUUGUCAGGAAUCCUAUGUAGAUGUGAGAAGAAGGGAACUUAAAUUUGUUAGUGGUGAUUUUGUGUAUCUAAAAAUUUCACUCAUGAAACGGAUAAAGAGGUUUGGUAAGAAAUAAAAGCUCGGUCCCCGCUAUGUUGGCCCGUAUAAGAUUUUGAGUCAUUUAGGAAAGGUAGCUUAUGAUCUAGAGUUUCCUGCAGAUAUACCAGUGCAUCCUGUGUUUCAUGUCUCUCUGCUUAAAAAAUGCAUUGAUGACCCAGCCUCAAUCAUGCCCUUAGAGAAUUUGGGUGUGGAAGAUAUCCUCUCCUAUGAGGAAGUCCCAGUUGAAAUCCUUGAUUGUCAGAUCUAUAGGUUGAGGAAUAAGGAGAUUGCCUUGGUUAAGGUUCAAUGGAGAAAUCAGUCCGCUGAGGGAGUAACGUGGGAGGCGAAAGCUUAUAUGCGAACCAAGUAUCCCUAUCUCUUCUCUACAAAUUCAGAUUCAGCUUGAGGUAAUAAUUUUCCUAACGUAAUCUUCUUGUUCUCUAUCUCAGUUAUUCAGUCAUCCUCAUGUCAUAGCAUGCAUUUAUUAGUUCAGUCAUACAUCACAUUACAGAUUUUAGAUACUUAAUCAUGAUUCAACUCAUAAGUAUUUAGUGCAUGAUCUCAGUCUUCCUAGUACGGAGCUCAACUAGUUUCAUUCGAGGAAAAAUGAUCUCAAGAGGAAGAUAUUAUAAUAUCUCGAGUUUUUAUGUAUUAAACCUCACAAAAGAUAGGUCACCAACUUAGCUUUCCAAUACAUCAAGCCUCUUCUUAAUCCGAUGUCGUGGCAAAAAGUUAUGAAAAGUUUCCCUUAAGGAUUUGAUACACUACCAUGACUAUGACUCAGGAAAUGAGUCGUAACCACUCAUAAUGAGUCGUCAUAAGUGAGUCAUAGUCAUUGCACUAAAGACCUCGCAUUUGGUCCCAGUGCCUACGACUUCUCCCUAAAACUUAUAAUCAAUGGCUACGAGUCGUAUGGAAUAACUCGUAGACACUACAGUAUGAUACCUAAGAUCCCUUUCAAUGGUUACGAGUCCAGUAUACGACUCAUAAUAAGACGUUAUGAGUCAUAUGGUGAAAUUCGUAGUUAGACUAUAAAGGGACCUCAAAACCUAAGUUCUAGCUUACGACUUAGACUACGACUCAUAGUUAGUCUGAACGAGUUGUAGGGUGAGUCGUAACGACUGGGAACGUCUUUUCUAUAUGUUUUCUUAGGGACUUUUAUGUCUUUUGAGACUCCCUUAAAAGUCAAACCCAUGUCAUUUUGGUUUCCCAGUGGAUGGUAUAAAAGGACCCAAAAGCCCCAAAUUUAUCAAUUAACUAUAUUCUACCUAAAAGAGAUCAAAGAGGCAAUCUUCCUAUCUUCCUCAAGCAAACUAGAGUUUCUCAAGAGCUAGAUCAAUUCCAAGGAAUUUCCCCAGGGCUCUCACUACCAGGUAUGUGGGAUAUUCAUGAUGGGUCCCAUCCACCCUCAAUUUACUUUGAUUGGAAACCAUGUAAAUACAUUCCCACAUAAUAAUGGUGUUUCCAUAUGUUUGAUAAUGAAAAUGUCUACUCCAUGCUUUAUUGUUGAAUUAAUGAGUGUUAAAUAUGAUUUUUCUCUACCAUAAAUUGUUAAAUUCUGUAUUAAAUAGUACUGGUGGGUUAUGACCACUCGAUACCUAGGAAAAUCAUGCAUGUUACAAUUUUCAUAUUACAAGUCAUUAAGAUUUAUGCUUGCAUCAUUAAUUUUAGAGCAUUUUUCAUAAUGAUCACUAUCAGUACCAAAUCAUGUCAAAGGAAUAAUAAUACCAGUGUCAUUCAGUUAGGAGUAACCCUUAGCAUCUAGUGAAUACAUGGAUGGCGGCUCCCCUGUCAAUUACGCAUGAGUCGUUAGUAGCAGUCUCUAAGUUCCAGACCUACGGAGAAACCGUAGAUUGUGAGAGGUCCCCCAUCAAUAGAGGCAUGACACCUUAUCCUUCAGAAUAUUAGAUUAGUAGAUCCACGCCAGCCAGUGUUUGUACCCCUGGCAAGGUACCAGCACCCUUCCAACAGGGGUUACAGGUUGAACACCGAUUUACUCAGAUUGGGGCAUAUUGAUUAUAGUUAGAUCUCAUAGUCUCAGUUCAGCAUUUAGGUUAUAUAAAUUUAGGCUUGCAUGACCAAGUAUUCACUUUAUCAAUUAUUCAGUUAUCCAGCUGUUACAGAUUAUUUCAGUACAUAUUUAUGCUUGGCCUUACAUUUAUUUUACAUGCACAUGUAUUUAUGCUCAGCACUUAAAUGUAUUUCAUUUGUCCCUAUCUCAUCACCAGUACAUUCAAAGUACUGAUCCCAUACUCUCUUUUGUGUUAUGUUAUCUUAUAACAUAGGUUUGGAGGCCCAGUCUCCCGAUCGUUCUUAGAUAGGUCGUGUACCAACCCGUUAUAGGUUUUGGUGAGUCCUCAUUAGUGGAGAACUAGUUUUACUAUUUAUCCUGCUUUUCAGUAUUUCAGUUAAUGUUUAUUUCAAUAGUCAGAGUUAGUAAGGGACCUGUCCCAACAACUCAUCAUGUUUAGAGGCUUUCAGUCAGUUAGCUAUAUUUUUAGUACAAAGUUUCAAACUCCUUUGUUAUUGAUUUGAUAUUUAGUUGUUCAUUUAAAUGAUUUCACACAGUAUUUUGCUAUUUACUUUUAGUACCUUAUAGCUUAUGCCAGUUCUUGGGUUAGCUUGGGGUCACUUGUAGCCUUAACCACCAUAUUAUAAUGACAAGGGGUAGUUUGGUUAUUUACUUUCUGUUGAUUGUAUCCUCUGGGCAUAUGUGGGCUCACAUUAGGUUAUUUACUUUUUAGCACUAACUAGCUUAUGCGGGCCAGUCUUGUAGUGUUAGUUAUAUUUUUUUCAUAUCAUAUCUGUUGUGUUUAUUUAUUCACAAUGUUGUAGCUUAUUUCUAGGUUCACCCUUUUACCUUGACUUAGUUUAUUUGUCUUGCAUUAUAUCAUAUUUAUAUCACGAUUAAGCUCAGUCGGUUGAUGAUGCCUACUAAGUACUCGUGAUUUUGGUGCUCAUACAACACUUCUGUACUUUUUUGGUGCAGAUCUGAGUAUUAGUGAUCGUCGCUGACAUGACAAUUGUGCUAAAUUGAUUUUGGAGAUAGGGUGAGCUCUUGGAGUUAGAGUUGUUCCUUUUUCCUUCAAUUGUCUAUGUCUAGUCUUUCACCAUUGAGAUAGAUUGUAUUUGACUAUUUUAGUACUUAUGUCUUUUGUAGUAGCUCUUGUAUCGACACUACUAGGUUGUGUGAUGGUUAUUGAUGUUUUAUUUAUCUUUUAGACUAUCAUUAUUGCCUUAUUAUUUUUUAAGUCUUAAAUUAUUAAUUUUCAGCUUUUAGGCUAUUUUUCACCAAAGUUAGCCCAUUGCUUAUAUCUCCAGGCUACGACUGGCUUACCUACUAAUGGGAUAAAGUAGGUGUCCUCAUGAAGCCCUAAAUCGGGUUGUGACAAUAAGGUUCCUUUAAAUCUAGCAAUUUAUGAAAAACUUGAACGUGUAUGAUUUUCAUGUCUAGCUAGACAGUAAAUGCUAUAGAAAAAUCCUUGAAAGAUUUAAAAGAGAUUUGAUCUA
rnacentral:lncRNA from 1 species